GCCAGUAUGGUAUAGUGGUUUGAAUGUUGGACUAUGACUCUGGAGACUAGGGUUCAGUUCCCCACUCAGCCA